UGAGGAAUAUUGGUUCAAUGGGCGGAGAGCCUGAACCAGCCAAGUCGCGUGAGGGAAGACGGUCCUAUGGAUUGUAAACCUCUUUUGUUCGGGGAGGCAAAAAAGGACCUCGUGAGGCCACAAGUGAGAGUACCCGAAGAAAAAGCAUCGGCUAACUCCGUGCC
rnacentral:rRNA from 1 species